GGCUAUAGCCACGGGGUUGUGGCUCCGCAGCCGCGCUAUCCCGCUAUCUCCAGUGCUCUGAGGUAGAGGAAAGGUCUUGACAGGUUGGCUGGACCAGUGGCAGAAUCCAGUGCCAGACUCUGGACUUGAGGGUUCUGGACUAUGGUCUAUAGAAGUGAAGGAAAGAAGGACUCAAAUCCAGGUCAACUGUAUGGCUGUCUGAGGUGCUGGAACAGAAGAAAGUCCACUCCUAUUGGUGAUAACACUGUGGCCCUGUUCUGAGAUGACCGAUGUAUGAAGGU